rnacentral:tRNA from 1 species
CGGGGCCUUAGCUCAGUUGGUAGAGCGCUGCCUUUGCAAGGCAGAUGUCAGGAGUUCGAAUCUCCUAGCUCCAC